GUGGACCACUUUCCGGAAGCCAUCUGCACAUAACAGGGUGGUGGUGGCUCUGCCUCAGGACGGGACCAGACAGCCUCCAAAAGCGGCCACUGCCCCGGGAGGCUGCUGGGGACUUGGCCCUGGGUCCUCACUGUCUGCAGGCCCACCUCCGCACGCCCACGCCCCUGCCUGCCCAGAGGCAGCACUCACACAUGUUGAGCUGCCGCACGAAGCUGGCCAUGUUGUUGUGCUUGAAGUACUUGGGCAGCACCUCCUUGGCAAACUGGCCCUGGUCGAACACAUGGAAGCUGUUCCCACUCUGUCAGGAGACACAUGGGCGGGUCACACGUGGCGGCAAGGGGCAGCGCGCCUGGGCCACCCCUUGUGCAAUGCACGUCCCGCCCGAUGGGGCCGGGGCUGGCAGGAGGUGAGUUUGUUCCUGCGACCACCUGCCACCUGGGCCUCAUCUAUGCUGCAUGGUCUGCAUCCUCACUGAGGCCCAGGACUUGGCAGUGGGCAGAUGCAGGGCCUUCCUGGCAGUCGGGAAGCCCCUCCCCAGGCAUUCUAGAGAUGAGCCAUGCCACCUUUCCCCUCACGAAGCACCCACCGCACUCUGGCCUGUGUCUGUGGGAUGAGUGUUUGGCUUUAAGCAGCACAUUUCCCUUAGGAACAGCUAAGGAAAGGGAACCCUAAUUUCAUCAUUCCCUAGGAAAACACAGUUGUGUUCAGAAAUCCAAGUUCAUUCUUGUUUUGUCACAUGAGACAAGAAACAAAGAUAUUCAAACACUGCA